rnacentral:rRNA from 1 species
GCAGCCGCCGCGGUAAUACGAGGGGUGCAAGCGUUAUUCGGAUUGAUUGGGUGUAAAGGGUGCGCAGACGGCUUAUUAAGUCACUUGUUAAAUUCUUCGGCCUAACUGAAGGUCUGCAAGUGAUACUGAUGAGCUAGAGGGUGGAAGAGAGAAGUGGAAUUCUCGGAGUAGCGGUAAAAUGCGUAGAUCUCGAGAGGAACACCAAUGGCGAAGGCAGCUUCUUGGUCCAUUCCUGACGUUCAUACACGAAAGCGUGGGGAGCAAACGGGAUUAGAGACCCCCUGUAGUCCCUGUCUCUUAUU